rnacentral:rRNA from 1 species
CCCUUAGAUGUUCUGGGCUGCACGCGCGCUACACUGAUGCGCUCAACGAGUUUACGACCUUGCCCGGAAGGGUUGGGUAAUCUUUUUAAAACGCAUCGUGAUGGGGAUAGAUUAUUGCAAUUAUUAAUCUUUAACGAGGAAUGCAUAGUAGGCGCAAGUCAUCAGCUUGCGUCGAUUACGUCCCUGCCCUUUGUACACACCGCCCGUCGCUCCUACCGAUUGGGUGUGCUGGUGAAAUGUUCGGAUUGGGAAUAGGAGACGGCAACGUAUCCUGUUUCUGAGAAAAUCUUUAAACCCUCCCAUUUAGAGGAAGGAGAAGUCGUAACA